ACGGGGAGCAGCAGGCGCGAAACCUUUACACUGCACGCCAGUGCGAUAAGGGGACUCCGGGUGUGAAGGCAUAGAGCCUUCACUUUUGUACACCGUAAGGUGGUGUACGAAUAAGGACUGGGCAAGACCGGUGCCAGCCGCCGCGGUAAUACCGGCAGCUCGAGUGAUGACCGAUUUUAUUGGGCCUAAAGCGUCCGUAGCUGGCCGCGCAAGUCUGUCGGGAAAUCCACCCGCUCAACGGGUGGGCGUCCGGCGGAAACUGUGCGGCUUGGGACAGGAAGGCUCGAGGGGUACGUUCGGGGUAGGAGUGAAAUCCUGUAAUCCUGAACGGACCACCGAUGGCGAAAGCACCUCGAGAGGACUGAUCCGACAGUGAGGGACGAAAGCUGGGGUCUCGAACCGGAUUAGAUACCCGGGUAGUCCCAGCCGUAAACGAUGUUCGCUAGGUGUGACACUCACUACGAGUGAGUGUUGUGCCGCAGGGAAGCCGCUAAGCGAACCGCCUGGGAAGUACGUCCGCAAGGAUGAAACUUAAAGGAAUUGGCGGGGGAGCAC
rnacentral:rRNA from 1 species